AGUAUACUUUGAGAACUUGCACUGAGUACAUGUCUACAUAUUACAGAGUGAUAGUAGUGUUGAAAUUGGUUGAUAAUGGGUAAUUGUUGUGACACAUGAGGCAAAACCCAGAUCCCCCUUACUGAAAUUUUCAUAUUGCCUCCAGUGUAAGAAUUCAUCAGUUUCUUCACCCCUCUACAAUUUUUGUAUAUCACACAAUUCAAGGCAGUAUUUAAGCAAAUCUAUUCAUGUAAAAUUGUUGGUUGGAAUCUGGUUUCUUGUCCUUUUGGCUGGGAUCAAGUAUAGCAUAGAUAAAAGUGUUGUUGAUAUAUGUAAAUAUAGUAUAUUUGAUGAUUCAAAUAUAAUAAAGGAAUAUUUUCUAAAAGAUAGGUAAUGGCCUAUUCUUCUACUCUACUCUGUCCCCUAAAAGUUCAAAUAAAGAUAAAAUUUAUUGUUUUUCAUACUGAAUCACAAUCAAAAGUAUUAUCUGCCUGUAAUGGAAAUAAUUUAUGAUUGGUAUGACCAUGUCCGAGUUUUUAUAUCAGAAAUUGUAUCAAAAUAUUUAGAAAUUGUAGUGUCCUAUGAUUCUUGAUAAAUAAAUGCAUUAUCAUUAUGAUCAGAA